GCUUUUGUAACAGUAGGGCUUCUGCUUCUGAAAAGAAAUGCCAGCGGAGAUGUUGCUGAGAGAAAAGACAAGAAUUAUCGUCGCGAUGGGUGUCUCUGGCCAGGGCAGCAGAGUAAAACCUUGGCACUGGGACCUAAUGACAGUCACAGACUGUCCUCUGAGGGGCAUGCAGCAAUGGGAGAGCCAAGUCAACUCACUUGGGAGUGCUUUGAGCUCUGGUCAAGCAAAGAGAGGGCACAUGGAGUAUUCAACAGCCCCCUACGUCACCAGAGAGGCCAGUUGGAGCAAGGAGCAAGCCAGAAGACAUAGGAAAGUUCGCUGGACCUCCCAGGAUGCUGAGGACACAUCUGAAGCCCUCCUUCUAUCCUGCUGCAAUGUGGAUUGAUUCUGUCAUCCUACGACAAGAAAAGCAGGACGGGGCCCCUCUCUGCUCCUCAGCCCGCACUGUACCUGCACCUUCACCUAGAAACAGAAUCCUCUGGGCUUUUGCUCUGGCCCAGAUCCUCCCUGUUGAUGACUGGCUGGGAUUUCACUCCGACCGCUGCUGCAGACGUGGGCUCCUGGGUUCUUCUAUCCCUCGUUUAUUUGCUGUGACCACACAUUUGGUGUUUGCUGGUUUCCCCUCUGCACAUUCUCUUCCCAAAUCUUGUCCCUUGGGGAGUUCUUUGUUCUCUUCCACUGUUCCAAAGGGGCAGGGCCAGGCCCGCGACUCAGACUGACCCCAAAGCAAUGAACGCGGAGACAGAAAGAAAUCCUUGAGAAGAGUCUCAAAGCUACGUGCAAACUGACAAAAGGCAGGCUCCUUCAGGACAUCUCAUAUAGGAGCAGUGUAUCUAGAAUUAAGCCAACAAUAGAUCUAAAUUUAAGGCCAAGAAAAGAAAAAGGGCCUAUUACGUUUCUAACGGCUCCCUGCUAAGGACGGUACCUCCUCCCUAACCUCGGCUCCACUUUAUCCCUCUGUGGCACAUCAGUCUUCCUUUCUGUUCACAUAUUUUGUUCCUAAGGACUCUUGAUUAAUACAAAUAGCUAACGCUCAUUGAGCACUUACUAUGUGCCGGCUCUGUUUAUGUGCUUGUCUUAUGAAGCCACAUAACAUCCUCUGAGGUUGAAAAAAUACUUAGGAUUGGAAAAUAAGCAGAGGAAACCGUGGUAGGGGAUGUGGAAAGGCAGACGGAAGUUGCUGGGUUGGAAUAUGAACAAGACACACACUCACACACAAUAAUGCUGGACUCCCCUCCUUUCUAGCUAAUUUCCAGAUUUUCUUAUUCCUUUUGCUGCCAAAAUCCUCCACAUUGUGGCCGACACUCAAUGCCUUUACCUCCUAUUCCCGUAACCACUGACUUCCGCCCCCACAAUUCAAUUGAAGCUUCUCUUGUCAAGGUCACGACGACUUUCUUCUGGCUAAACACAAUGGUUCUCUUCCUUAUCCCUCAUCCUUUCUGACCCCACAGCAAUAUUUAACAUUGUUAAACAUCUACCUCCUGGACUGGCUUCCCUACCUUCUUCUUUCUUGCUGGGUUCCCCAAGCACACCCUGAUUGUGGGGAGUCUGUGAGAGCUCCUUUCAUGUAGGCAUCCCCUCGCUCCUGGUUCCAACUAGCAGGUCUCUGUGUGCCUCCCAAAUUUACCUUCCUAGCCCAGACCCUGCCUCCAUGCUUCUAGCUCUAUGUUCCUCAAAUUGUUUCCUCUCCCAAACAUGCCCAUUUCCACAGUGUGUCCG
ensembl:lncRNA